rnacentral:rRNA from 1 species
UACGUAGGGGCAAGCGUUGUCCGGAAUUAUUGGGCGUAAAGCGCGCGCAGGCGGUUGUUUAAGUCUGGUGUAUAAACCAAGGGCUCAACCUUUGGACGCAUUGGAAACUGGGCAACUGGAGUGUAGGAGAGGAAAGUGGAAUUCCACGUGUAGCGGUGAAAUGCGUAGAUAUGUGGAGGAACACCAGUGGCGAAGGCGACUUUCUGGCCUAUAACUGACGCUGAGGCGCGAAAAGCGUGGGGAGCAAACAGG